GGGGGUGUAGCUCAGUGGUAGAGAAUGUGCUUAGAAUGCAUGAGGCCCUGGGUUUGAUUGCAGGCACUCCCC
rnacentral:tRNA from 1 species